rnacentral:snRNA from 1 species
UUCGCUUCUCGGCCUUUUGACCUACCUCAAGUGUAGUAUCUGUUCUUAUCAGUUUAAUAUCUGAUAUGUCCCCCAUCAGUGGGGCGGAGCAGUGGCUCUGUGGUUAAGGAUCUGUGCCUGUGGCUGGAAGGUUGCUGGUUCGUAUCCCACGGCUGGCAGAGGAAUCCUACUCCGU